UUUUUUAGAUUUUCUAUAGGAUUAUCAGUAAUGUAGCUAUGAAUUGUGCCAUGUUGGUCUUGUGUGUAUUAAUAAUGACAAAUUAGGACUUAGGUCAACCUGAAACAGUUGCCUCCAAGAUGUUGUCUUAAGUGACGGAGGACGUGGCUUAUGAGGUCGUUGAAGCAUAGAGAUUGAGUCUAUGAGCUAUUCUUCAUUCCUCAUAGUGAAGGUGGUGGUACCUUUUGUGUCGAGUAGGCAUAGUUGAGUAUCUGUGGUCGAGUAGGCGCAUUCAUCUACUUCAGCUUCAGUAACCAUCUGAUUAACAUAACUCUUGAGUUUAUUAACUCUAAAUUGUUCCUGUCUCACAGAUUAAUCAACAUCAAACACAACACCAGGAUCAAAAAUUGGAACAUGGAACUGACAAACCUCAAUUGAGUAAACUCUUUUUCGAUUUUGGAGUAAAUGUUUUUUUUUUAUCUGGCCAUCCUUUAACAAUUGGAGGUAAACGCUUUUUAGGAUUAUGAAAGCUGAGAUGAGUUUAGCAACAAUUAUGGUUGUAACAAAAAUUUAUAAUUUGAAUAUGAAGAAAUUAGAGUUGAAAAUGAAUAUUGUUGAGUUUUUAUUAAAAAUUUUGGAGUUGAAGAUGAAAAUUAUUGAGUUUUUAUUAUUUAAUUGGUUUAUUAAAUAAUUAAUUAGUUUUAAAUUUUUAACUAAAUGAUUAAAUGAGUUAAUAAAAUAAAUUAUAAUUUUAAAUACUAAAUAUUGUCUAGUCAACAACAAUUAUACGGUCACCACGUGUCACUUUAUCCAAAAUUAAUCAUAUUACUAUUUUUUUACUAAAAAAGAUCUAUAAAGGUCUUUUUUUAAAACUUGUUACAAUUUGUAAGAAUAUAAACCAAAUUAAUAAAUUUACAAUGACUAAAAUCAAAACGAAUCAUAUUUGCAAGAACUAAAAACAUAUUUAAACCAAAAAUGUUUAUCAUAUACCUAAAUUUACAAUUAGUCUAAUAUAUGUAACCAAGAUGAUCAAUUUCCUAAAUUGUUUCUUUCUCUUUCAAGCUAACAAAUGUUUGAUUUUGCAGAAUUUAACUAAGAAGUUGAUUGGUGUAGCUAAAAAACAUGGAGAUCUAUAUAAUCUCAAAGCUCUUGCCAUAAUUUCAACUUCCAAUUAUAAGUCUUUUUGUAACUAUUCUUGGAAUGUUGCUUCUAGUGAUGAUACAUCUUUAUGGCAUCUUAGACUAGGACAUGUUUAUGAUUAUGUUCAUAAAUCAAUUUCCUUGCAAUUUCCUUUUGUAUCUUACAAGCAUAAACAUAAUUCUCCUUGUGAUAUAUGUCACUUUACAAAGCAAAAGAAUCUUCCUUAUCCUAAUAGUAAUUUUGUUUCUACCCAUAUGUUACUCCUUCAAUUUCUAGUCAUAAAUAUUUUCUUAUUCUUGUUGAUGAUUAUAGUAGAUUUAAUUGGAUUGUUUUCAUGAAAUCUAAAAGUGAAACUAAACAACAUCUUAAGAGUUUUAUUUGCUACAUUGAAACCCAAUUUGAAACCAAACUCAAAUGUUUAAGAAGUGAUAAUGGAGUUGAAUUUAUUAUGAAUGAUUUAUUUCUUUUAAUGGGGAUCUUUCAUCAAAGAUCAUGAGUCGAAUGUCCUCAAUAAAAUAGUGUUGUUGAGACAUGGAGAUUUACACGAAGAAGUAUAUAUGUCAUUGCCCAUAUAUGUCAUUGCCCGCUGGUAUGCAGCUUACUAAGUAUGUUACUUCUCAUUCUAAAGCUUGCAAAUUAACUAAAUCUAUUUUUGGUUUGAAAUAAGCUAGUAUUCAAUGGUAUUCUAAGUUAUUUGAUUCUCUUUUAUCCAUUGGUUACAAACAAUCUUCUGUUAAUUUUUCUCUUUUCACAAAAAUCAUUUAUUCUAAUUUUGCUGCUUUACUUAUAUAUGUUGAUGACAUUGUCCUUGCAGUCAAUGAUUACAAUAAAAUUCAGUAAGUCAAAUCUUUUUUUGACAAACGUUUAAAAAUAAAUAAUUUAGGUUCAUUGAGAUAUUUUUUUUUUUUCUUAUGUCUUAUGACACUUCUUUCAAACUUCAUUUAUCUUAUUCACCUUUGUAUACGUAUUAAUAAGAAUUUAGACGAUUAAUAAGGUGUUUCUUAUAUCUUACUACAACUUGUCCUGAUAUUUCUUUUGUUGUGUAACAAUUAAGUCAAUAUGUUUCAAAACAUCUUCAAGCACAUUAUAAAGUUGUCUUUAAAAUAUUGCAUUAUCUUAAAAACUCAUAUGCCAAAAGACUAUUUUUUUUUUACUUCUUCUAAAUUACAAUUUUCUGGCUAUGCAGAUUUGUUCGGACUGGGUUACUUGUCCUAUCCCCCAUAGAUCAACAACUGGAUUUUGUGUUUUUCUAGGCAACUCCCUCAUAUCUUGGAAGUCCAACAAGCAACCUGCGAUUUCUAGAUCUAGUUCAGAAGCAGAGUAUCGCACUUUAGCUAGCCUCACGCGUGAACUACAAUGGCUAGAAAUUCUUUUUCAUGCUCUUGGUAUUAAGUUUCCAGCUCCAACUUAUGUUUUUUGUGACAAUUAAUAUGCAAUAUAUUUGCCUCAUGAUCCAACAUUUCAUUAGUGAACCAAAUAUAUUGAGAUAAAUUGUCACAUAGUUAGAGAAAAGAUCAACAAAGGCAUCCUCAAGCUUUUCCCUAUGCCUAUCUACAACUCAAAUUACAAAUGUUUUUACCAAACCUUUGCAUAGUCCUUGUUUUUGUAAACUAGUCUUCAAGUUUGGUCUAUUAGAUAUCCAUAGUCGAGCUUGUGGAGGAGUAUCACAAAUAGAGCAUAAAAAUGAGAGUUAGUUAAGAUUAAUAGGGAUUAGUUAGGUUUUUUCUAAGAGGUUUGUUAGUUUGUUAUUAGCUUUGUAUAUUUUUUCUAUUUAAGAGGUUGGUCGUCUGAAAUUCUUAAGUCUUGAUCAAUUAAUAGAUGAGGAAAAUUGAGUAGUUUUGUGUUUGGAUGAUUCUUAAUUCAAUAAUUUCUUGCAAGUAACAAACCUGUAAAGAAUUCUUUCAUUGUGUUGCCGUAUGCCAAAGGUGAGGAUGUGUCGACCCCGGUGUUCGUGGUGUCUCAGUGUGGGGCGCAUACCAAAACUCGUUGGUUAAAUACCUUGACCGCAUCCUCGACUUCUCCUGUAUUGUCCCAAGGUAUCACCUUAAAUUAGUGUUGAGCUAAACGAAUUUGUCACAAUAGAGCAUCGCAUAGACUUGAAUUGCACUUUGAGUGAUGUUUUUCGCAUGUCUUGGUGACGUCCAAGAUAGACCAAACUGGACCUCACCUUAGAAUUUGCAGCAUUGAAUGGUGAUUAUUCUUAUUUACGAUUAACAACCAGACAAUCACCAUAAAGCUCCUCAUCCUAUGAUAAAAUCAAUGCAUAAACUCAAUGUGACUUCUCUUUAAUUAUCCUUCUAGGAUCUACCAUCAACAUGAAAUCUAAAAUAGCACGAAAAAUCAUAUGUUUAGAUAUCUUAUUUCAUUUUGGAUGGCGCAUCAAAAUGAAGAAAGCUUUGUGAUUGGUGAUGUGUGGUCAGAAUUCAAGGUGGGUGCACAUAUAAGCAUUCAGUAUAUGAUUGAGGUGGAUUGUAUAGUCGGAAAUCACUUUAUCCAUGAUGUUUUAUAAAAAACACAAAUUGUUCAAGAGUAAGUGUCAU
rnacentral:lncRNA from 1 species